ACAAGUUCCAGCGAUGAAUAUCUCGGCUCAAGCAUCGAUGAAGGGCGCAGCGAAGUGCGAUAAUCAUUGUGAAUUGCAGGAUUCCGAGAAUCAACAGGUCCUUGAACGUGCAUUGCACUCCUGGGAUAUGCCUGGGAGUAUGCCUGCUUCAGUGCUUGUU
rnacentral:rRNA from 1 species